UACGGGGGGGGGCAAGCGUUGUUCGGAAUUACUGGGCGUAAAGGCUCGUAGGCGGCCAACUAAGUCAGACGUGAAAUCCCUCGGCUUAACCGGGGAACUGCGUCUGAUACUGGAUGGCUUGAGGUUGGGAGAGGGAUGCGGAAUUCCAGGUGUAGCGGUGAAAUGCGUAGAUAUCUGGAGGAACACCGGUGGCGAAGGCGGGUCGUCUGG
rnacentral:rRNA from 1 species